GCUAAAAGUAUAGUCUAAUACACAUACAAAUAUAUAAAUAAAUUAAACAAAUCAUUUGACCCAUUAAGUAGAUGCGAUCGAACAAUCAACAAUAGCACAACAACCACAGUACCGCAAGGGAACUACAACUUAAGCAGAAAACAGCAAAGAUUAAACCUUGUACCUUUUGCAUCAUGGUUUAGCAAGAAUUCAGGGACAAAGCGCACCUAUUAGCCCCAAUCACCCGAAACCAGAUGAGCUACUUCAAAGCAGCCUUAUGGGCAAACCCUUCUCUGUAGCAAAAGAGUGGGAAGACUUCGAAGUAGAAGUGAAAUGCCUAUCGAAUCUGGAGAUAGCUGGCUACCCAAUAAAUGAAUCUAAGUUCAACUUUAGACCAUAUAACACACCCCAUAGUACUCUAAAGACAUUCAAUAGGGGUACAGCUCUAUUGAAACAGGAUACAACCUGAUCUUGAGAAUAAACUAAAACAAACAUACAAGUAGGCCUUAAAGCAGCCACCUAAAAAAAUAUCGUUAAAGAAUUAAAAAUAAAAAUCCCAAAUCAAACUAUAUAUUCCAACACAACUAAGGGUAAAUCUAUUACUAUAGAUAAACCUAUGCUAAAACUAAUAAUAAGAAAACUUCUCUAAGCAUGUCCAUCCGCAAGAAACAGAAAAACUACUAGCAAUCAACAGACCAAAAAAGGCAUAAUAACACACCCUACACAUAUAUUAAACAGACUGUGACCCCGACACAGGAAUGCUAUAAAGAAAGCAAACCAUUACAAAAGGAACUCGGCAAUAUACGACUCCAACUGUUUACCAAAAACAUAACCUUUAGCCAAACCAGUAUUAAAGGCAACGCCUGCCCAGUGAGAAUCUCUUUAACGGCCGCGGUAUCCUAACCGUGCAAAGGUAGCGUAAUCAUUCGUCUAUUAAUUGUAGACCCGUAUGAAAGGCUAUAUGAGAGUCGAACUGUCUCUUGUAAUAAGUCAAUUAAACUGAUCUUCUAGUACAAAAGCUAGAAUAAUGAUAUAAGACCAGAAGACCCUGUGAAGCUUAAACUACUCUAUUUAAACCUAUUAAUAGAUACUUUCAGUUGGGGCGACUUUGGAACAAAAAGAAACUUCCAAAUACUACAAGCUAUAACUCGUAUUAAAGGUUAACAAACCACUAUAAGACCCAGUAUUACUGAUUAUUGAACCAAGUUACUCCAGGGAUAACAGCGCUAUCUUCUUCAAGAGCCCAUAUCAAAAAGAAGGUUUACGACCUCGAUGUUGGAUCAGGACGCCCAAAUGGUGCAGACGCUAUUAAAGGUUCGUUUGUUCAACG
rnacentral:rRNA from 1 species